CUUGCUCCUCUCAUUCAGCGGCGGACGGGUGAGUAAUGCCUASGAAUCUGCCUAGUAGUGGGGGACAACGUUUCGAAAGGAACGCUAAUACCGCAUACGUCCUACGGGAGAAAGUGGGGGAUCUUCGGACCUCACGCUAUUAGAUGAGCCUAGGUCGGAUUAGCUAGUUGGUAGGGUAAAGGCCUACCAAGGCGACGAUCCGUAACUGGUCUGAGAGGAUGAUCAGUCACACUGGAACUGAGACACGGUCCAGACUCCUACGGGAGGCAGCAGUGGGGAAUAUUGGACAAUGGGCGAAAGCCUGAUCCAGCCAUGCCGCGUGUGUGAAGAAGGCCUUCGGGUCUUAAAGCACUUUAAGUUGGGAGGAAGGGCUCAUAGCGAAUACCUGUGAGUUUUGACGUUACCAACAGAAUAAGCACCGGCUAACUUCGUGCCAGCAACCGCGGUAAUACGAAGGGUGCAAAGCGUUAAAUYGGAAAUUAUCUGGGCCGUAAAGCGCGCGUAAGUGGCUUGAUAAAUUUGGAUGGUGAAAUCCCCGGGGCUCAUCCUGGGAACCUGCAUCCCAAAAAUUGUUCUGGCUAUA
rnacentral:rRNA from 1 species